GGGUGAUUAGCUCAGUUGGGAGAGCACCUCCCUUACAAGGAGGGGGUCACUGGUU
rnacentral:tRNA from 1 species